rnacentral:rRNA from 1 species
CAGCAGCCACGGUAAUACGUAGGGUGCAAGCGUUAAUCGGAAUUACUGGGCGUAAAGCGUGCGCAGGCGGUUUAUUAAGACAGAUGUGAAAUCCCCGGGCUCAACCUGGGAACUGCAUUUGUGACUGGCAAGCUAGAGUGUGGCAGAGGGGGGUGGAAUUCCGCGUGUAGCAGUGAAAUGCGUAGAUAUGCGGAGGGACACCGAUGGCGAAGGCAGCCCCCUGGGCCAACACUGACGCUCAUGCGCGAAAGCGUGGGGAGCAAACAGGAUUAGAUACCCCCGUAGUCCCUGUCUCUUAUAC